rnacentral:misc_RNA from 1 species
GAUGAAGAACGCAGCGAAAUGCGAUAAGUAAUGUGAAUUGCAGAAUUCAGUGAAUCAUCGAAUCUUUGAACGCACAUUGCGCCCCCUGGUAUUCCGGGGGGCAUGCCUGUCCGAGCGUCGUUACAACCCUCAAGCUCAGCUUGGUAUUGGGCCCCGCCGACCCGGCGGGCCCUAAAGUCAGUGGCGGUGCCGUCCGGCUCCGAGCGUAGUAAUUCUUCUCGCUCUGGAGGUCCGGUCGUGUGCUCGCCAGCAACCCCCAAUUUUUUUCAGGUUGACCUCGGAUCAGGUAGGGAUACCCGCUGAACUUAAGCAUACAAAAGCGGAGGA